UACGGGGGGGGGUAAGCGUUGUUCGGAAUUACUGGGCGUAAAGGGCUCGUAGGCGGCCAACUAAGUCAUACGUGAAAUCCCUCAGCUUAACUGGGGAACUGCGUGUGAUACUGGAUGGCUUGGAUUUGGGAGAGGGAUGCGGAAUUCCAGGUGUAGCGGUGAAAUGCGUAGAUAUCUGGAGGAACGCCGGAGGCGAAAGCGAGUGACUGGCGCGUUCCUGACGCUGAGGUGCGAAAGCUAGGGGAGCAAACAGGG
rnacentral:rRNA from 1 species